UAUAGUGUUACAAAUAUAACUCCGAACCUCAGAAUAAUAACAGGAAGCAAUCGUAUUUACACCGCGACGACGUACUCUGUGGUCGGCAGAUAAGCCAUGGCGGGAAACGUCAAAAAGGAGAUGUCAAUGUCAUUGUCAAGGAAGGAGGGAGUUGAUUUGAAUAUGGAGUCGUGUUCUUGUAUUUUCUGAUUUAAUUUGUUUGUUAUUGAUAUAAAUCCUCAUGUUUUCAAGUUGUAUUAAUGAUUUAUGGUAAAACGAACCUAUUUCACAAAUGAGUUUACUUUUUGUGUCACCUUUUCCUUCUGGUUUUAACAUCAGAAGUUGGAUUCUUUCCACGCGCUAUUUUCCGCUUCUGCCUAUGUUUUUCAUACAAUACAAGUUAAAUCAGAAAAAUACAGAAAUAUUGGUAUUCUGCACACUUUAUUUUAUAAAUUUUCUGUCCCCUAGGCGGUGAGUUUAUGAGUUCUUGUUGUAUAAAGCCGAUUUUGAAGUGCUGAGUUUUGGAUUGCCUAGAGCGUGGUGUUGAAGACUUUGAGAAGACGUUGCGGUCGAGGACGUCACGCCGUCAGGAAAGGCCGUGUUACAAAUAUAACUCCGAACCUCAGAAUAAUAACAGGAAGCAAUCGUAUUUACACCGCGACGACGUACUCUGUGGUCGGCAGAUAAGCCAUGGCGGGAAACGUCAAAAAGGAGAUGUCAAUGUCAUUGUCAAGGAAGGAGGGAGUUGAUUUGAAUAUGGAGUCGUGUUCUUGUAUUUUCUGAUUUAAUUUGUUUGUUAUUGAUAUAAAUCCUCAUGUUUUCAAGUUGUAUUAAUGAUUUAUGGUAAAACGAACCUAUUUCACAAAUGAGUUUACUUUUUGUGUCACCUUUUCCUUCUGGUUUUAACAAUAGUCUAU